rfam:Brevundimonas sp. Leaf363 contig_3, whole genome shotgun sequence.
GCGUAUCUGAAAGGAGGUGAUCCAGUGUCUCAUUGUCAUCAAUCGCGAGCGGCCGCGACCUGGACCUCGUUGGAGGCCCGGGCCUGAUCCUUUCAGGCAAGGUUUCGAUCGCAGCGCGAUCAGACAAUGAAGGGCCGUCGCAGCGACGCGGCGGCCC